rnacentral:lncRNA from 1 species
GCCCACAGCCUCUGUCCCCUGUUGCCAAGCGCUCCCUCCGCGCUGCAACCAUCUUGACUUGGAAUCAACCACUGCACGGCCGCCUUGGAGUCCUUGCCUGGUGAAACCUCUCACGGCUGCCUCGAUAGAGUUAGGCAUACCCUGCCCCGUGUGGGACGGAGUUUUCAAUGAUUUCGUAUGUGCAGAUCCACGCUUCUGCCUGCGAUAAUAGAGGAUGCCUCCCCGCUACCCCUGCUGCCGUGGUUCUACCCAGCCUGCUGCGGACGCCUCAGCCAGGUGCGUCACCCGCACCUAGGCUGACCCGGCCCGGGCCUUGUCCCCCGCAGGUCGCUGGGGGGCGCCUGCCGAACCAGAGCCAUUCUCUCCGCGUUCGUGGGGAAUCCCGAGCGCCGCUUACAGCGGUGUUACUUCUGCAGAACGCCAGGAACCUCAACCCUAUUCCAAGAAUUAGGAUAAAACAGCACACCCUGUCGAAGUGGAGCCUGGAGUUGCAUCAUUGCUACCACCGACGUCCCCUUGGCAGCGACAGCCCCAAGCACGUUCCUGGCCCAUCGCUAAUCUCAUUCCCGGGUGCUUAGUCUUAGCUGCUCUGAUCCCCUGUCCCCCCUGCCCCCCAGCCCCGCUUCCCACCGUGACAUUGCUGUAAGGGAAGGGAGGAGAUAAAAAGGGAAAAAGUGCAUUCUGAGUCCAGGAUUAGUGGAUGAUUGUGGAAAAUUCACCACAUAAAUUUUUGGCUAAAAAUUAACUUCACUCUGCUUACCAAUAUAAGCACUCAAUGCUAGAAGAGAGGUGAAAAAGACGGGGUCCCCCGCCCCCUUAGAGGGGAACUGUCCAGUAGGAGAAUGUUUAAAUAUAUAUAGUAAUCACAACAAAAUCGCAACAGCAUGUUCCAGAAUAGAGAUACCCACAAAGUCAUCCAGCAGAUGGUGACCUCCUUUAGGUAGGGAAGAUAUUGCUGUUUGCCUCUUGCAGAGGAGAAAGCCUGCGCUGAGGGAACAAGUGCAAUAGGCAAGAAAUUGAGGCAUAGAAAGGGUGAGUGAUUUGCCCUCCAUGACCCAGCACUGCAGCAAUGCAGCAAAGGACUAGUACCAGAGCCCAGCAAGUUUGCUGGUGCAAUGAACCAAUUUGGAGACAGCUAUUCCAGACUGAUAACCAGCCUUUCCCAGAUCUCAACAAUAUGAUCCCAAGAAAUGGACUGAAGCUAAACAGAAGGAAGUUCAAAUGGUGAAGUUGUGAGGUGAAGCUGAAGCAGUUCAUUAAGGCACUUUCUCUGGCAAGGCUUAAAAGGAGGCAGGGCGGGAAAGGGAGAGAGAUACCCAUUGUUUAGCUUGGGAAUAGAUCAUCAGUUCCCCCAAGAAACAGAUAGAUGGAAGUGUCCCUUUGAAGGUUCUAUCUAUCUAAUGGACAGAUUCUCUAUUUUAAGAAAAGUAAAGAAAUACCUCCCUUGCUCAAAGCAUCCUGAGAAAGCUAGCAGUGAUUCUCAUGGGAAGAAAAGUAUAAGAGAUAUCUCUAACAGCCAACACCUGAGGAAGUCCCAUGAGCCUCUGGAAGAGGUUGAUCACUCAGAAGUCACUUUUGUGGUGUUUAAAGGGCAUAGCAUCUUGCAAAUAAACCUUAAAAAAAGGUAAUGAAAGAUGAGUAAUAAGAAUUCCAUAGUUGUUGACUAUGAGUCUUUUUUCACAGCUUUUGGUUGAAGCAGUGAAACUAGUAUUUAACAUGUAUAAAACAUUUUAGAGUAUAAAAGGAUUCUUUGGAAUAUCUUUUCUUUCUGUCUUUUCUUUUCUUUUUUUGGUACUGGAGAUGGAAUUCUUUACCACUCAGCUAUAUCCCCAGUCCUUUUACUUGCUAAGUUGCUGAGAGUCUUGCUUAGAUAUCGAGGCUGCCUUCAAACUUGCAACCCACCUGCUCUCUAUCUUUAAUCUCGCUGGGAUUGAAGGCAUGUACCACCACAGCCAGUUGAAAUAUUUUAUUCAGCCUUUAUUAUAACUUUUUGGGACAGGCAGAUUAGAAAAUACUCUCCCUAUUGUACAACAGAUGUGCAGAAUUGUCAAUAUUUUUACAGCUAGGAAAUGAUAGAGCCACUUGAACACAGGUCUUCUCUCUGAACAUCCUUACUGUUCCAUGCUGCCUCUCAAAAAAUAAAAAAUAUUCCCAUGUACUUUUCACCAGUUGUCUAGCUAAACCAGCCUUCUCCAAGAUUAUAAGAUUAUAAAUAUUGUCACUGUGUUAACAUAUAUCCUAUCAUAGUCAUAUCACUAUGUCCCUAACCAUUUUCUUAUCAACCUCCCCAUACCUGAAUGACUGUCUCUCAUCUGUCUCUCCAGACCUGUCCUUUAGAUCCUGUAUGUUUUUUUUUUUGAAUUUUUUAAUAUUUAUUUUUUAGUUUUUUCAGCGGACACAACAUCUUUGUUUGUAUGUGGUGCUGAGGAUCGAACCCCGGGCUGCAUGCAUGCCAGGCGAGCGCGCUACCGCUUGAGCCACAUCCCCAGCCCAGAUCCUGUAUGUUCCAUCAAAUCUUCUGCAACAUCUCCAGGCCAAAAUGACCCAUCAUUUCUCUAGUCUUUCUAUUAUGAAUUGCUGUAUUGCAUAGUUUGUCACCUGAUAACAAGCCUCUUAUAUCUACAUUGAAAACAAAUGGAUUUUUUUCACCUCAGCUUUAUUCUUAUGAGAAAGGUUAUUUUGCAAAAAUAAAAAAGCAAGAAUACAUGAGUUGCACUUUUCCCUGUUCAGUUGUAAUCACUAAUUGUCUCCUGAUCCUGCUUCUUUCUAGCCAGGUACCAGAAAGGCUAGUGAGAAAGAGAGUCCCCUUCUCUCAAAGCCUGAUGACAGGUGGCAUUUCUGCAGUAUAGAUUUGGGUUGGGGCAGUAGCCCAGUGUUAGAACACUUAUUGUAUAGUGUUUAUGAAACCCCAGGUUCAAUCCCCAGCAACUCAAAAACAAAC